CUAACAGAUCUGGAUUAUUUUCUUUUCCGGUACUAUUUUUUCAUCAUGUUAUGAAGAUCAAAUUUCUACCAUGUUGAAAUUCUGAAAAUCCCCAAUAUUAUCCAUCCCAAUUAUAACUGUCGGUGUCGAGAAGCAUUCGAUUUCCCAGCACCAGCAGCUUCUCGAAUGAGUUGGGCGGUUGAUCGGGAAUUGAUGGCGGCGGAGUGGCACCACUUCCUUCAAUCGGUGUUGUAGGGAGUCAUCUUCUCGUAUCUGCUAGCGAAGCUAUUCUUGUUGGGAGUCAUCUUCUCGUACUUGCUAGCGAAGCUAUUCUGGGUUAUAUUCACCUUCCGCGACGAGAAUCUGAGGAUCAAGCGCGCUGAUUCCCCCGAACCUGAAGUUGAAGUGAGAGCAGCUGAUUCUUCGGCUCGGAAUUCGGAUGAGAAUGAGUCGUUGAUCCGCGGAGGUGUGGUAUCGGGGAAUGAAAGCGUGGUGAUGAGUGAUCAUAGUGAUAGUGAUGAUGAUUGGAAGGGUGUUGAGAGCACCGAAUUGGAUGAGAUCUUCAGUGCCGCCACUGCGUUUGUUGCAGCCAUAGCUGCCGACAAGGCGACGAUGAAGGUGUCGAAUGAUGCCCAGCUACAACUUUAUAGCUUGUACAUAAGAUUGCUACUAAGGGACGAUUUGGUGUUUCUCUGGAUGUGCACGAUUUGGUGCAUUUGGAGAGGGAGAAAUAACAGCAAGUUUAAUCUUGGAAGCUGGAGCAAAGAUAAAUUGUUGACUGAGGUAAAAACGAGGCUUUGGAGCUGGAAGCUGGCGUUCAAUCUGCAGAUUACUUCUCCAAACUUUAGAAGCUGGUUUGGAGCUGUGAAACUCCAUGGUUAACUCUGGCAGCAUCGUUUUCUUCCUCCCCUGCUUGGUUUCCCUUUUCCUUCUCUGAUCUUGUUUGUUUGUUGUGGGUACCUCUGGUACCGUUUUAUAUAUUUUCAGUUUCAAUAUAUCUCCUUUUUCCUGAUCAAAGAAAAAAAAACAUAAGAUUGCGACUAAGGGACCGUGUUCGGCUCCCCAACCUACUGCCUUGAAAAUGACAGCUAAUAUGAAAAUCAGCGUGGGUCGUUUAGUACGAUUGGUGCGCUGGAAGGAGCACACUAUCUGGAAACAGGGGAGCUCUUGAGCCUCAGCGAGCAGCAUCUUGUGGAUUGCAAUCAUGAGGAAUUUCUUGAAGGUUAUAAAUCCCCUGUUGCUGUUGGAGAUGAAGCUGAUUCACUGGAGUUGCGUAUCGCAGAUGCAACUUAUGCGGCUGAAGAUGCUAUCAAAUCUCAUAUUGUGGACAUGGUUCAGCUGAGCAGGUCGAAAGAAACCAAAGAUACUAUGGAAUCUCAUAUUGUGGAGAAGGUCCAGCUGAGCAGAUCCAAAAGAAGCCAAAAUCAGCUGCUUCUUCAACAGUUUUCGAGAACCGGAAACAAUGCAAAAAGUUCAUUCUCUUAUGUGCACAGUUUGUGGCUAAAAAUCUGAAUUAGUUUUGCAUUUGACAAUAUACUCUUUAGAACAUUGCUUGAUGGUCAACCUGUUAUAACUACAAACCUUAUAUAUGUAGAAUAUCAUUUGGUGAAUUCACAAAA